rnacentral:miRNA from 1 species
UAGAGUGUGCAGCCAGUGCUGUUGAGGGCAGAGGCGAGAAGAGGGCUGAAAGCAGGGAGAGGCUGUCUCUGCUUCUGGGGCACUGGCUUCUCCUCUG